GCAGCAUUCGUAUAGUGGUUAAUAUUACUGGCUUCCACCCAGUCGACAUCGGUUCGAGUCCGAUAUGCUGCU
rnacentral:tRNA from 1 species